GAUCGGCGGCGGCGCGCUGCCCGCCGCAUGGCUCGUCGAUCGCUGCGCCGACAGCGCGGGCAACGCGAGCGUACACGUGGCUCGACGUCGGCGGCGCGCGCGUGCCGCAGGCGAUCGCAUGGGGCACGUAUCGGCUCGACUUCGUGUACGAGGCGCGGCCCGACGUGCUCGUCGACGGCAGCUACGGCGCGCCCGUCACGCUCGACAAGCGCUGCGCCCGCAUCGAGCUGCACGCGACGACCGAGGCGCCCAGCCUCGUGCGCAGCUGGACGCUGCUGUACGACGACGACGACGACGGCGGCCGCGGCCGCUCGCUGCUCGCGACGAUCCGCGAACAAGGCCACGCGGCCGACGGCUCGAUCCUCGCCGCGCCCGAGCGCACGUUCGCGUACUCGUCGCCCGGCGCGCCCGCGCUCGUGCCGGUAACGGGCUGGACGACGCCGCUGUCGGACCCGAACACCGAUCUCGUCGACCUGAACGGCGACGGGCUGCCCGACAUCGUGCACCUUGGCCAUGGCAUGCCGACGAUGCAUCCGAACCUCGGCGGCGGACAGUUCGGCGCGCCGCGCCCGCUCGCGCGCACCGCCGCCCCGCUGCGGCUGUCCGCGCCCUCGGUCGCGUUCGCGGACAUGUCGGGCAACGGCAGCGUCGACGUGCUCGUGCUCGACGCGCCGUUCUCCGGCUACUACCCGCUGGCCGCGCCGGGCGGCUCGGCGCCCGCGGGCUUCGGCCGGCCGAUCGUGUUCGAGCGCGCGCCCGCCGUCUCGCCGAGCGACGUGCGGCUGCGCUUCGUCGAUCUGAACGGCGACGGCAUCACGGACAUCCUGCUCGACACCGGCCGCGGCUGGCUCGCGUAUCUGCGCGACGGCCCGGCGAGCUGGUCCGACGCGCCGCGCGUGCUGCCGCCCGCGCGCACGCCGCCCGUGUCGCUCGCCGAUCCGCACGUGCAUCUCGCCGACAUGACGGGCGACGGGCUGAUGGACAUCGUGCGCGUGACGGGCGGCGGGCUCACGUACUGGCCCGCGCGCGCGGACGGCGGCUGGGACGCGGCGAUCGCGAUGACGCCUUCGCCCGCGUUCGGGCGCGAUUUCGAUCCGCACCGGCUCGCGCUGUACGACGUCGACGGCGACGGCUGCGCGGAUCUCGUCUACGUCGGCCUGCAAUCCGUCACGCUGUGGCGCAACGUCGGCGCGACGCGGCUCGCCGCGCCCGUGGCGAUUCCCGGCACGCCGGUCGCGCUGCCGGGCAGCUACCGGAUCGUCGAUCUGCUCGGCUCGGGCACGGCGGGCGUGCAUUUCCAACUGCCGUCGAUCGCGGGCGCGUCGCGCCAGA
rnacentral:rRNA from 1 species